CCUACGGGUGGCAGCAGUGGGGAAUAUUGGUCAAUGAGCGCUAGCCUGAACCAGCGAAAUAGCGUGAAGGAUGAAUGCCCUAUGGGUGGUAAGCUUCGUUUAUAUGGGAAUAAAGUGCAGUUUGUAUACUACUUUACAUGUACCUUAUGAAUAAGGAUCGGCUAAAUCCGUGCCAGCAGCCGCGGUAAUGCGGUGGAUCCGAGCGUUAUUCGGAUUUGUUUGGUUGAAAGGAAGCGUAGGCGGGUUGUUAAGUCAGUUGGGAAAGUUUGAGGCUCAACCGUAACAUUGCAGUGGAUACUAGCAUCCUUGAGUACAGUAGAGGUAGGCGGAAUUCGUGGUGUAGCGGUGAAAUGCUUAGAUAUAUAGAAGAACUCCGAUGGCGAAGGCAGCCUGCUGGACUGUAACUGACGCUGAUGCUCGAAAGUGUGGGGAUCAAACAGGAUUAGAUACCCUAGUAGUC
rnacentral:rRNA from 1 species